rnacentral:rRNA from 1 species
GCCGCGGUAAUACGAAGGGGGCUAGCGUUGUUCGGAAUUACUGGGCGUAAAGCGCACGUAGGCGGAUAUUUAAGUCAGGGGUGAAAUCCCGGGGCUCAACCCCGGAACUGCCUUUGAUACUGGGUAUCUCGAGUCCGAGAGAGGUGAGUGGAAUUCCGAGUGUAGAGGUGAAAUUCGUAGAUAUUCGGAGGAACACCAGUGGCGAAGGCGGCUCACUGGCUCGGUACUGACGCUCAGGCACGAAAGCGUGGGGAGCAAACAG